rnacentral:rRNA from 1 species
GGGCUCGCGGCUCUAUCAGCUUCGUUUGGUGAGGUCGAUGGCUUACCAAGGCUUUCGACGGGUAGCCGGCCUGAGAGGGCGACCGGCCACAUUCGGGACUGAGAUACGGCCCAAACUCCUACGGGAGGCAGCAGUCGGGGAAAUAUUUGCACAAUGGACGGAAGUUCUGAUGCAGCAACCCUCCCGUGCGGGAAGAACGGCCUUCGGGUUUGUAAACCGCUUUUCAUCCAUGACGAAGCCUUUUGUUGACGGUAGUGGGUAAAGAAGCACCGGCUAACUACGUGCCAGCAGCCGCGGUGAUACGCAGGGUGCGAGCGUUGUCCGGAUUUAUUUGGGCGUAAAGAGCUUGUAGGCGGUUUGUCGCGUCGGGAGUGAAAACUCGGAGCUUAACUUUGAGCUUGCUUUCGAUACGGGCUGACUUGAGGGAGGUAGGGGAGAAUGGAAUUCCUGGUGGAGCGGUGGAAUGCGCAGAUAUCAGGAGGAACACCGGUGGCGAAGGCGGUUCUCUGGACCUUUCCUGGCGCUGAGAAGCGAAAGCGUGGGGAGCGAACAGGCUUAGAUACCCUGGUAGUCCACGCCGUAAACGGUGGGUACUAGGUGUGGGGGACAUUCCACGUUCUCCGUGCCGUAGCUAACGCAUUAAGUACCCCGCCUGGGGAGUACGGCCGCAAGGCUAAAACUCAAAGGAAUUGACGGGGCCCCGCACAAGCGGCGGAGCAUGCGGAUUAAUUCGAUGCAACGCGAAGAACCUUACCUGGGUUUGACAUAUGCCGGGAGCGUUCAGAGAUGGGCGUGCCUUUUUGGUCGGUUUACAGGUGGUGCAUGGCUGUCGUCAGCUCGUGUCGUGAGAUGUUGGGUUAAGUCCCGCAACGAGCGCAACCCUCGUCCAAUGUUGCCAGCGGGUUAUGCCGGGGACUCAUUGGAGACCGCCGGGGUCAACUCGGAGGAAGGUGGGGAUGACGUCAAGUCAUCAUGCCCCUUAUGUCCAGGGCUUCACGCAUGCUACAAUGGCCGGUACAAAGAGCUGCGAGCCUGUGAGGGUGAGCGAAUCUCGGAAAGCCGGUCUCAGUUCGGAUUGGGGUCUGCAACUCGACCCCAUGAAGUCGGAGUCGCUAGUAAUCGCAGAUCAGCAACGCUGCGGUGAAUACGUUCCCGGGGCUUGUACACACCGCCCGUCAAG